UAGGCUAUUACUCAUAGGAUAUGAAGCAUAAUUAAGUGAAUGAAUUUUUGGAAGAAGCAAACAAAAGAAAGGAUGUUGUAAAUAAAGUUUGUAUAGACAACUUGUUCCUUUAGACAAGAUGUUUCGUUGAUGUCUAUGAUCUGUUGACAGUUUUCUUUAAUUAAUAAACGUAGACAAGUAGAUAAGAGGUUAUCGAGAAUGUCUACGAAUAAUAUGUUUUUUAAUGUAUGUAGA
rnacentral:lncRNA from 1 species